AAAGAAAACAAAUUAUAUAGAAAACAGAACAAGGGAGAAAACGCCACACAUUUCUCUAUGCCAAGAGAUUCUGUUUGCGUUCAAACUUGUGCUACAGGUUGUCGUGCUGAGAACUGAAUGAACAUCAUUAUGUUAGAGCGCUACAGAUACCACAAUCAGACCUCCAUGACAACCAUCAGUGGCUUAUUGGAAUCAGCCCUCACAUUUGGUCUUACUGUAGAAUCUGCCAUCAGUGAGCCUGUUGUAAGCUCCCAAGGAUAUCAACAUUUUAUCACCCAGUUAAGCAUAAUGCCCUGGUCAUAAAGUUCAGUGUUUGUACAAUCAACCCCAUAACUCAGAUGAUUUAUUAACUGUGGUGGAUAAAUGAGAAAAGAGUCAUCUUAUGCCUGAAAAUAAAAAGACUAAGUGUACCAGUGCUGCUUUCUUUUGCUUUCCUUG